GGCCCCGUAGCUCAGUUGUAUAGAGCAACAGAUUCCGGUUCUGUGUGUCGCGGGUUAGAGUCCCGCCGGGGUCA
rnacentral:tRNA from 1 species